UACGUAGGGGGCAAGCGUUGUCCGGAAUCAUUGGGCGUAAAGAGCGUGUAGGCGGCCCGGUAAGUCCGCUGUGAAAGUCCAGGGCUCAACCCUGGGAUGCCGGUGGAUACUGUCGGGCUCGAGUCCGGAAGAGGAGUGUGGAAUUCCUGGUGUAGCGGUGAAAUGCGCAGAUAUCAGGAGGAACACCGGUGGCGAAGGCGGGUCUCUGGGCCGAUACUGACGCUGAGGAGCGAAAGCAUGGGUAGCGAACAGG
rnacentral:rRNA from 1 species